GCUUCUCUGAUGUUAGCGGCGGAAGGGUGAGUAACACGUGGGUAACCUACCUAUAAGACUGGGAUAACUCCGGGAAACCGGGGCUAAUACCGGAUAAUAUUUUGAACCGCAUGGUUCGAUAGUGAAAGACGGUUUCGGCUGUCACUUAUAGAUGGACCCGCGCCGUAUUAGCUAGUUGGUAAGGUAACGGCUUACCAAGGCGACGAUACGUAGCCGACCUGAGAGGGUGAUCGGCCACACUUUGAACUGAGACACGGUCCAGACUCCUACGGGAGGCAGCAGUAGGGAAUCUUCCGCAAUGGGCGAAAGCCUGACGGAGCAACGCCGCGUGAGUGAUGAAGGUCUUCGGAUCGUAAAACUCUGUUGUUAGGGAAGAACAAAUUUGUUAGUAACUGAACAAGUCUUGACGGUACCUAACCAGAAAGCCACGGCUAACUACGUGCCAGCAGCCGCGGUAAUACGUAGGUGGCAAGCGUUAUCCGGAAUUAUUGGGCGUAAAGCGCGCGUAGGCGGUUUCUUAAGUCUGAUGUGAAAGCCCACGGCUCAACCGUGGAGGGUCAUUGGAAACUGGGAAACUUGAGUGCAGAAGAGGAGAGUGGAAUUCCAUGUGUAGCGGUGAAAUGCGCAGAGAUAUGGAGGAACACCAGUGGCGAAAGCGGCUCUCUGGUCUGUAACUGACGCUGAUGUGCGAAAGCGUGGGGAUCAAACAGGAUUAGAUACCCUGGUAGUCCACGCCGUAACGAUGAGUGCUAAGUGUUAGGGGUUUCCGCCCCUUAGUGCUGCAGCUAACGCAUUAAGCACUCCGCCUGGGGAGUACGACCGCAAGGUUGA
rnacentral:rRNA from 1 species